GAUGAACGCUGGCGGCGUGCCUAAUACAUGCAAGUCGAGCGAACAGACCAGGAGUUUGCGCCUCUGACGUUAGCGGCGGACGGGUGAGUAACACAUGGAUAACCUACCUAUAAGACUGGGAUAACUUCGCGAAACCGGGGCUACUACCGGAUAAUAUAUUGACCCGCAUUGUGCACUAGUGAAAUUCGGUUUUUCUGUCACUUAUAGAUGGCUACGCGCCGCAUGAGCUAGUUGGUAAGGUAACGGCUUAGCAACGCUACGAUGCGUAGCCGACCUGAGAGCGAGGUUGGACACACGGGCUCAGAGACAGGGCCGAGACUCCUGCGGUAGGCAGCAGCAGGGACUCCUACGCAAUGGGCGAGUGCGUGAUGGAGCAACGCGGCGUGAGUGAUGAAGGUCUUCGGAUCGGAAAGCUAUGUUAGUAGGGAAGAACAAAUGUGUAUGUACCUAUGCUCGUCUUGACGGUACCUAGACAGAAAGCUACGGCUAACUCCGUG
rnacentral:rRNA from 1 species